UUUCCUAUAGUAACAUAGAUAAUAUGUGGUUUUAAUUGAAGUUUUUAUAGAUCUAACUAAGAAUUCAUAACAUCUAUCGAUUUGAAGCUUAGUUUUGCUCAAAAAUGGUAGAUCUCGAAAUUGCAAGCUAAGUGACUGUUUCAAAAUGAAUUUAAACUUAUUUUGAUGAAAUUAAGAGGUCUUUAAUAUGAAUUUAACAAAUCUUUAAUGAACCUGAAUGGAUUGAAUGAUUUCUCUUCUACGCGAUUGAAAAACAAACAUGAUUUUCCAGAAAACAGAGAUCAAUGUAAUUGGAUGAAAUUAGUAGUAUAGAUUUGUAAUUAAAUGUUAAGUAUGUUAAGAAUUAAGAAUUAAAAUAAGUGAGAGUGAAGAAAUUAGAGUUUCGGAGGUGUGCGAGGCCAGCUUGCCAGAGAAGUGUGAAUGGUGAGAUGAUAGGUAGUUAGGAAUGUCAUUUUACUUUAGAUCAAUUGAAAUCUAUUGUGUUGGUGUGUGUUGUUAUGUGAAGCAUCAGAUUGCGAAGGAGCUUCCUCAAGCAAAGACAAAGGCAAUUGCUGAAGUUUACCUAGGCUCGGUAAAGCAAAAAAGCCAUGAUAGGUGUGUGCAUUACAUAGUGCAGUCACACGUCAAGUAUUAAUGAAAAGUAGCUCAUGAGGCAUUAAGAAGUGGGGAUUUCUAGUGAUCCAUUGCAAGGCAAAUUUCCUGAGUAUGUGUCAUGUUUCCAAACCUCAAUAAGAAAGGCAAUAUUGGACUAUUCCAAGGGACUAGAUUAGACUUAGAAAUUUUUAACAAAUGAUGAUGGGUUGUAAAUUGAACAUAGAGACUGUUGAUUAAUUUUGUAUUUUUUUUCUUUUGAAUAUUUUAUAACUUCUUGAUUAAAUGAUUAGAUGUUUGAAUUGUGAUGGCAUGUUGAUUUGUUUGAUAAAUUGAUGGACUAACAAGUAUAUGUAGACUAAAGAACUCGUCGAACAAUGAGGUACGUCUAUAAUUCUUAAGUAUGUUUAAAUCUAUUUGAUGAUUUAGUAUGUAACGCCCUAAAAAUCUUAAGUUCUGCUUUGUUAAAUUCAGACAUUAAUUGAGUGCCUACUUUAGCGGUUGUGAUACGGGUGUAGAGUUCGAAUCCCCUAUGUGAUUAAAGUGUGAUUAUUUUUGUUAAUCCUUAGUCUGUUGUUCAUAUUGGUGGUGUUGGAAUUGGAUUAAAACUCUUAAAAUAGUUGUUGAGAUAUCAGGAAGUUAGGGGUUAGGUUUUUGUUUUAUUUGGAAACUAUUAUAUUUUUUUUCUCCUAAAAUCACUACCCACGUUUCACGUUCCAAGUGCUGUCAAGUGGGGUUUUGCAAAUUGUUCUUCUUUGUUCUUUUUUUUAUGCCUUUUCCCUCUCGAAUUAAUUCUUUUUACUAUUUUUCGUCAAAAACUGUUUGGUGGGGGGAUUGUAUUUCUUUUUGGAUUCAAGUAUACACGCGGGUGUGGUGAUUAAUCUCUUGUUAGAUAUUUUUUUGGGUAUUUCUAAUUCGUAGGGUAAGUGUAUAAUUUUUUCUUUCGAUAGUAUGGUAUUUUUGGUUCCAUUUGGAUACUGAGUUUGAAUCGUAAGGGUUGAUUUCUUCUCUGGGUGUUUGGUUAAUUGGUAUUAUGUGGUUUUAGGAGAGGAUUGAACAACGCUUGGCGUUACUCCAGCGUCUUAGGCAUCGUUAAUUGUUGUUCGCUUUAUCAGUAGGUGUUCGAAUAUUUUGGGGACCAUGUGAGGUUGUUUGUGAAUAAUUCUUGAUACAAGUUUCAUAAAAUUGUUCUUAAUUUUGGUGUGUUUAUUGACGUUUUAGGAUAUGGAAGCUUUGUGGGUGGAUUUGCAUAAAAAGAAAGUCAAGGUAACCCUCAAACUUAGACGGGUCAGUGCGAUGAGAGCUCGGAUUCAUCCACAAUUUCGUAAAAGUUGACUUAUAUUAAUUUAUCUCAUUUAAAAUUUCGUUUUUGAGAGUUUUGUAAUUUUUGUACUCUCUAGGCUUUUGGGUUUAUUUUUGGAUUUGGACUA